GUCAGGGAGUGGCCGUGAGGGAUCCCAAGGCCAGGUCUGGAAAGGGGGGGCGAGGGGGUGAGCUGGGUGGUGGGGGUGCAGCCCCCAAACAAAGACAUGGGAGUCGAAACGGAGGAAAGCCCACUAAGAUGCUCAUAUGUAAAACCGCUGAGGAAUAAAGGGACAAAUGUACACAUUUGUCUAAAUGAAGAAAAUGAAAAUCCUGCCCGCAAAACACACAUACAUUAACUUCUAAAGACCUACGGGGAAGACAAGACUUUUCCGCCUGGGACACUGAGCUAAUGUCCUUAAUAAAUGAAGAGCUCUUGGAAACCAACGAGAUAAAGACCAAACCAAGCCAGAAAAAUGGGCAAAGGGGAGAAAAACUGGCAAUUCGCAAAAAAAAAAAUGCAAACGGCUGGCCGACCUGCGAAAGAAACAUCGCGACCUGACUACUUGCAUAAAGAAAUGCAAACCUGAAACACCGGGCACGUGCGGUUUAUGGGAGCGGGCAGUCACACACUACUGAGUUGUUUCCCACCAGCCGUCAGUACAGACCUUCCACGGUGUGAGCCCACUGCAUGCCAUUUAGUAAAACAGCAAGAAAAUGAGAGAUAAAAAUAAUGAGGUAGCCUUGUAUGGGAUUAUUAAGGACUGAACUCUCAAUAGACUUAGUGAAAUAUACAAGUUACUGAAGUUUGUAGAAACCAACUGGUUCCUUUUAUGUCAGGCAAUUCCCAAUCCAGGGCCUGUUUGCCACAAAUGAGCCUCAGAGACCUCAAUAUGCAUGGGGUGCUUCCGGACCUCAUUACCCAAGAGCAGUCAGCUUCUUAAUUUCCUCUGCCUUCUUCAAGAUAACUAGUUCAGAAGGUUUAUGUUUUCAAUUUCACAUAUCCUUGCAUUUUCCUGUUCAAGUUUUGAUCCAUAUGGAUAUCUUAAAUAUGCCUAUCAUAGUAAGUUUAUUUUAGAAGGUUAAAUUGUGAACUCACAAACGCAUAGCAUCAUAGCACCAUCUCAAUCAAAAGUAUUAUCUUCUGUGAACUACAACAGUUUUCACUUCUUUCCGAAGUACAGAGUGGAGUUUGCCUGAGGUUAUAUGACCUGUGAUAUCAUGACAAAUUGAAGGCUGAAGCAGAUGAGAAUCCAGCUGUUUUCUAUUAAGUUAAAUGCUAAAGAGAUUUACAAAGAUGUAAAACAAUGCCCCUCUUCUCAAUAACCUUUGGUUUUGAAAAUUGUUAAUUUUUCAUUAAAAUGUUGCUUCCAUUAACUUGUAAUAGGCUUACUACUAUUAUUUAAUAAAAUGCACAUUUUAAAUG